rnacentral:lncRNA from 1 species
CGAAAUUAGAUGUUGGGCCCGCCCUCUUGGGUAGAUGGUGUUGCGGUCGUAGACUGUGCCCAGAGUUAUUCUAGCGGCAGCAUCUCCUUUGCCUCCGACUCUUUCUAAGGCUGCAGGCCUGAAAAACCCUGUCGCUCCUUCCGGAGGACACCGAGCGAGCGCCCUAAGGAGAGACUAAAGCCCUCUCUUCAAUCCCGUGCUGUCUUCUGCAGAGCGGGAAGCCGUGGCUCCUCCAUUCCUUUCUGGCUUCAGGCGUCGGUUUCCCCAAAUUGGUGGUAUUCCCAGGAAAUAAAGAGAAACUGCCAACGCUAGGCGCGGGAUGCUGCGCGAGAAACGAAAAAAUGAGUCGGUCUCUCAGGAGCUUCGGCCCAGACUGACUAGCCAGCAAGGCCAUCCGCCUGUCUCAGUCUCCCAGCUCUGGAGUUACAGACAUGCACUAUCAUGUCUGGCUUUUUACGUAUGAAUAUGCAGCACCGCAUUAUACCCUGGGCAGAUGAUGGACUUGUGCUCUAUAAUCACUAUCUGUCAAAAUAAAAACAAAAGAAAAGCCUCAGAACUAUCUUCAAUGCUCUAAAGGUAAUAUCCCAAGCAGUAACAGUCCUCACUUUCUUUUACUCUACUUCUACCUUGUUAUUUUGUUGCUAGGAUACUUCAAGUUGUCCAACCUCAGCUCUACGAUACCCAGUGCCCUGUAUGGAAACGGGCAAGGGCCUGGUAGAUGUCAGUUCACCAGGCAGACUAGGAAGCCGACACUGUGCAUUACCCAUGGAACACAGGAGCACAUUACCUAGACGUGAGCUUCCCAUAGCUUAACCAUUUCUCAAUACUCAAGGCAGUCAGUAAACAACAGAAUGUAUUUGGCAUUAAAAAAAACAACAAAAGCUUAAGUCAUACUUUUUUGGGGGAAGGAUUUAGAUUUAUUUGAGUUUAUGUGUCUUGAGUCAUAGUCUUGCCUACAUUGUUUUGUCUGUGCACCACCUGCAAACCUGGUACAUAAGAAAGUCAGAAAAGGGUGCUGGAACCAAUGGAAUUGGAAUUAUAGGUAGUUCUAACCUGCAGGUACUUGGAACUGCUGUGAGAGCAGCAAGUCUCUUAACCACUGAGAGAUCGCUCUAGCUCCGGUUUAUUUAACAGUACUCAAAAAGUUCUGUUAAUGGUACCAGUCAUUUGUUCUUACUCUCCCAAGAUGGUCAGGUUAAAUAUAAGCAGACCCAAGUCUAAAACCUUUACAAAGUAAACAUUACUUAAAUUUUACCAACAAACCAAAAA